rnacentral:tRNA from 1 species
AUUUGGAUAGCUCAGUCGGGAUAGAGCACUGACAACAGAUGUCGGUAGUCGCGGGUUCGAAUCCCGCUCCAAA